UACGGAGGGUGCAAACGUUGCUCGGAAUCAUUGGGCGUAAAGCGCACGUAGGUGGCCUGUUAAGUCGGGUGUGAAAUCCCUGGGCUCAACCCAGGAAGUGCACUCGAAACUGGCAGGCUUGAGUACUGAAGAGGGUCGCGGAAUUCCGGGUGGAGUGGUGAAAUGCGUAGAGAUCCGGAGGAACACCAAAGGCGAAGGCAGUGUCCUGGGGAGUACCUGACGCUCAGGUGCGAAAGCCAGGGGAGCGAACGGG
rnacentral:rRNA from 1 species